GCCAAAUGCUAAGACCAUACUAGUGCCACUGGUGGAUCCUCCCAACACGGCUCGGCCACAAGAUCCCCUGACAUUUGUUUUAUCUUCCUCACUUCUCCAGACACAUCGUUCCAUGAUUCAUAGUCUUGAAUCUCUAUCCCCAGCGUGCAAUCUGAUUUUCCGUGAUUACAGUAGUCUGCCAAAACGGUAUGCGUCUGGUACUUGGGCCGAGAGUUUCCAUCAAUAUCGAUUGAUGCCACGAACUCAAGAACAUCAGGAUGGCCCACAGAACAUUGAAAUUCAGGAAGCAGAUAUAUCACUUUCCCCUACUGCAGGCGUUCUCCUUACCACGACUCAGGAAAUAACUCAGAAAUAUCUGCCAGGCCACCAGCCAAACGGACAGGGAAUCGCCCAGGAACUGAAUUACCCAGUUCGUCGACGUAUUUCCGAGAUAUGCCUUUUAUACGAAGAAGUAUAUGUCUUCAUUUGCAACCCUAUUGUUGCCCUAAACAAGGAUAAGUUAACGAGACCGCAUAUGGAAAUGGAAAUGAAC
rnacentral:sRNA from 1 species